rnacentral:lncRNA from 1 species
UAUGGAAAAACUUGUCACUUGCCUGUGGAAGUAGAGUUUAAGGCUCAUUGGGCACUCAAAAAAUGGAACAUGGAUCUCCACCUCGCUAGCGAGAAUCGUCUGAUGCAACUAUCUGAGCUAGAAGAAUGGAGAGAGAAAGCCUACCACAAUUCAAGGAUCUAUAAAGAGAGAACAAAACGAUAGCAUGAUAAGAGAAUCAAGCACAAGGAGUUUAAGCCUGGAGAUAAGGUUCUACUAUUCAAUUCAAGAGUUAAGCUCUUUGGGCAUGGUAAGCUACGAAGUAAGUGGGAUGGACCAUACAAGGUUAUUGACACUUCAACUCAUGGAGCCAUUACCAUCCAAGAUGACAUAGGUAACACUUUUAAGGUAAAUGGUCAACGCUUGAAAAUCUAUCUUGAGCCUCAAAACAACCGGGUAGAGGAACUUGAUGUGACUGAGUUCAUAGAAUUCUCAUAUUAAGCUCUCAUAAGCUCUAGACAAUUACCUAACCCUUAACAUGCUCCACAAGUUUUGUUGUCUAUUUGGGUUGUGCAGGAUUUUAAGGCUUAAGAAGACUAAGAUAGAACAUGCAGGCCAUAAGAGUGAACGACUAUGUCAACAUCCAGCUUGGGGGAGUCAUCCCCACGUGUAUCAUGAUAAGUAUUACUUUUCUUUCUUGGUUUUAUUUACUAGUAUUCGGAAAUAAAAAAAAAUGUGUGACCAUGAAGCCAAACAAAGUUUUUCUUUUGAGUAAUAUACCAUGGUUUUGUGUAAUCCUAAGUUUUAAAUAAAAUAAAAAGAAAGUUUGGUUCAAGUCUAGGUAAUUGACAAACAUGAUAUGAGAAGGUCUGAGCUACUAUUUAACUUGUUCCAAGUUUUGCUAGAGUUCUGGAGAUUUUAUCUUUUGAAAAUCUAAAAAUUCAUAAACAAAAAUAUGAGAUCAUAAUACCUUGAGUCUUAUAAGAUAAAAAUAUUAAAACAGUGGGUACUUUCUUUGUUCAAGCCAUUGUUAAUUCUUGUAGUUUUGGUUGAGAGAAUUAUCAUGCUCCCAAGAUCAAGAUCUUUUUGUUUUAAAAAUAUAAAAGAUUCACUCUUCCGAAGUAUUAUUGCGUUAGAGGCAUGGGACUAUGCAAAAUUUUGAUUCGAAAAAAAAGUGAGACGAGAGGUAAAAAUGGACAAGUGUCCGAAGUAGAAUUAGGGGUACAAAGAUACCCACCUGAGUGGAAAAAAUGAACAUGUGUCCGACAGUAGAAUUAGGGGUACUUGCUGCCCACUUGAAAAAAAAAGAAGAGACUGAAAAAAAAAGAAAAAAAUGAUAGCCCAUUGUCCCUCUAAUAAGCAAUAUGCCAGUAAGAGAUGACAAACUUUUCAAAAAGGUCAAAGGUCUUGAUCUAGGAGUAUGACAUUCCUCUCCCUUGCUCCGAGCAUUGACAUAGCAAAAUGCAAAGUAAGUAUGCUAAAACUUUUAAAGCUCUACUUAUAUAUCUUUCGAGAAGAAGGCAAAUACCUCAGUUUUAUUUUGCAGACUCAUAAAAAAAAUCCAGAACAAAGGUAAGACAGAAGAACUUGAGACAUAGUGCUUGACUUGAUCGUUCUGUUUUACAAUCACUUAAGACCUUAGUGAUAAAUUAAAAACCCUGUAGUAAGAGGCAUAAAAGUAACCCCUGUUUUCUUGUUUAUUUUAGCUUUGCUCAGGGACGAGCAAAGGUUAAGCUUGGGGGAGCUUGUUGACGGUCCUUAAUGCUCACAUUUAACCAUCAACUAAUCAUGGAAAAGGAUCCAAAUGCAACCAACACCUAGACUUAGGGUUUUAUCUGACAGAAUUCCACGAGUUUUGGUGUUUGUCUAUUUCUGCAGGGGGUUAUCAGGAAAUAUGGAGGAAAGGCUCACACGUCGGGAUUACAUAGAGAUAUUAACGUGCCGCACAAUUUUCUACCACCUAGAAGACUCCAGAAGCCACGGGAACGAACGGGAAGGCGAUCGGGCUCGGAGGCAGGGCGCCCGCCCUACUCUCCUGGGCACCCGCCCUGCUACAGUGCCCAAUUAGGGUCAACUUCGCGGAUCGUGCUCCACCGACUCUAAGGAUCGAGGGAAAUCACACGAUUAAGGUCGGUUUGAUCGGAUGGUGGAGAAUAACGUGGAAAUUCCUUGGGAGCUACUCUUCCUAGAUUUCUUGGGGGCUACUCUUCCUAGAUUUCUUGGGGGCUACUCUUCCUGGACUAUAUAAGCAGACCCCCACCAGCCCCUGGAGGCAUACCUCUUCUACAGAAUCAAAGUUAGGGUUUCAAUUCUUCAUCCAAGUAGAGAGGAUCCCUCUAGUUCUUCUAGUUCUACCUCUAGUUCAUCUAGAUCCAGUUCUAGUUCAUCUAGUUCUAGUUCUAGUUCCUCUAGUUCUAGUUCUAGUUAGUUCUAGUUGUAAUCUAGAAAAUAGGGAGAGAGAAGACGAGAGCGGAGGAGGAGGAGCUGGAUCUGUCGGAUCUUCCUCAACAUUGUACUUUUGCAGCAACUGGUUCGUUCUUCAUCGUUCUCCAGGUUAUUCAAUUCAUAAUCCUGAGUUCUUUAAUUACUUUUAUUUACAUUUAAGUUAUUUAUUGGAUUCCCGCUUGCAUCAAGUGCUCUAAUCUUUGCAACAUUAGAGUAGUAAUUAAUAGAUUAGACGUGGUGUUUAGUCUUGCAAUUACAUGGAAUUGCACCCAAUCCUGCGGAUUGUUGUGGUAGCCUUAGGGUAGUGACAGCCCUAACGGUCGACGUAUUCCACCUCGUUCGGAUUGGUGUUUGUAGGACCGUAGUCAGACCUUCCUAGCCCCCUUCUUAUCUCUUUCUGUGGUUAGUGUUCUGAUGUCCCGAUAUAGAUAAUCUUGAAGUAAUUCUUGAUUCUUAGAUCAACUAGAGAACUCUCAGGAAACUUUCUCUCUUCCCACCAAAAAUAAUCAUAUAGUUAUCCUUGGGCGAUCUUGGAUCUUAAUUAGUACACUCACGUUCCCUGUGGAAAAUCGAUACUCUGGUAUACUCCCGGGUGAAAGCUACAUCGGUAUCCUUGCGCUUGCGGAUUUUUCUGUUUGCGUUUAAAAUACCCAACAAGCUUUUUGGCGCCGUUGCCGGGGAACGAUAGCUGUGCUAGUUUCGAACCAAGUCUUUCGUGUAUCCUUUUUCCUUUCCUUUUUACCACACUCACCUUACCAUUUUCACCACACCACAUGGAUUUCACUCCUAUUUAUAAAUUCUUUGCUCCAAAGGGCGACUUAUUAGAGCCACCACCAUCAUCACAUCCAAUUCUUACAGAUGGCUACGACCUCGGCCCUGAUCUAAUAGCCAUGAUUCAGGAGCAAUCCUUCUCUGGGCAAGUAGAUGAAGAUCCAUACACCCACCUUAGAGAAUUCGAGCAGUUGUGCUCUUGCCGAUCUAUUUCCGGCAUGACACAAGAAACCCUUAAAUGGAAAUUAUUUCCGUUCUCCCUUUUGGGAAGAGUAAAAAAAUGGUAUGCUCAUUCUGUAGGAGGCGUUAAUGGAAGUUGGGAUGAACUUCGAGACAACUUUUGUCUCGCUUUCUUCCCACUUUUUCGAAUUGCUGACCUUAGAAUUGAAAUUCUUACAUUCAAACAAAUAGAGAAGGAAACUUUAGGAGCAGCAUGGGCUAGGAUCACAAGCCUCACCAAUUCUGGUCCACACCUUUCCCUGCCUGACCAUGUACUGUACUACCACUUUUAUCGUGGUCUAAAUAAGGAAGCUGCUCUUCACCUCGACAUUGCUUCAGGAGGCUCAUUCACACACAAACUCACAGAUGAGGGGAGAGCUAUCCUAGAGAGAAUCCUUGAAAAUACCCCUUACACAGACAUUUAUGAUGAGUUUCCUGAAGUCGAGCCUGAUCCUAAACCAAAAGAUGAGGAACUUGCAACCGAGUUAGAAAUUCCACCUGACCCAUCUAGUAAUUUGGUUGUAGAGAAACCUCCUGAUAAAGGAAUGCAAAACCAACUAAGGGAUGAUGAACCACCACCUUUAGAGCAUCCCUUUGAAUUCGAGGAAGAUCUUUUUGAAGAUUAUGGAAACACCUCGAAUUUUCCUAUCCAAACACAACCCCUAGCAAGGACCACUCAAUCUGUUCUAAGAGUAGAAUCUGUUGACAUAGAACACAUCAAAAGUCUGUCGGCUAUUCUGAGUUAUGAAUGGCUAACAGAAGCAGAGCUGUCUCCUGAGGUAGCUCGAAUCAUCACUCCUUCAACCAUUCUUCUGUGCCAAAUUAGAAGGUCCCCUAGGAAGGUCCACUACAAUCCAUAUGUUGGGAUAAAUGUUAUUUCCAAGGAGUUAGCUGACACUCUUUAUCCCAACGAGUCCAUAACCCCAUCUCAAAAAGUUUUACAAAGUCCAUCUAGAUUAAUUCUAGAAAGCCAUGGGGUAUUAAGGGCAGUUCCUGUUAGAAUCAAGGACUCUGGAAUAUGUCUAGAUUUUCACAUUUUUGACAUACCGGAGAUUCCUCUCUUGAUUGGCAGACCAAUCAUGAAACUUCUACAAGAACAACUACAACGAGGUCAUUUAGACUUCAAAGUUGGGAAUUCCACUAUUGUUGUUCCUCUAGCUAGAUCAAUUAACACGAUAGUGGAACCCAAACUUGACCCAGAUCCUAUUGAGGAGAUCUUAAUGGUGACUCAAGAGGAGAUGACCCAACCAUUCUUUAAUCAUGAACACUUUGUUCAAGAAGAAGAAGAGUUGGUAGAACCCGUUGAGCUAGAUAAAAAUGAACAACCUUCACCUCCUUCGAUAGAGUUAAAACCUCUUCCUUCUGGCCUUAGAUAUGUCUUUUUGCACAACAACCCAAAAACUCCAGUAAUUAUCAGUGACAAGAUUUCCGAUUAUGAAACACAACAACUUGUCACUGUUCUUGAAAGGCAUAGAUCAGCAUUUGGCUACUCUCUCGAAGAUCUCACGGGCAUUAGUCCCAUUCUCUGUACUCAUCGUAUCCCUAUUGAUCCCAAUUCUACACCUUCAAGGGAACCACAACGGAGACUUAACAGUGCUAUGCGAGAGGUUGUUAAGAAAGAGGUCCUCAAACUCUAUCGUGCUGGGAUUAUUUAUCCUGUGCCACAUAGUGAGUGGGUUAGCCCUGUCCAAGUAGUGCCAAAGCAAGGAGGAAUGACGGUUGUUAGGAAUGAGAAAAAUGAACUCAUCCCUCAACGAAUUGUCACUGGGUGGCGUAUGUGUAUUGACUAUCGAAAACUCAAUAAGGCUACAAAGAAAGAUCACUUUCCGUUACACUUCAUUGAUGAAAUGUUAGAACGGCUUGCAAACCACUCUUUCUUUUGUUUCCUUGAUGGUUAUUCUGGAUAUCACCAAAUCCCAAUCCACCCAGAUGACCAAGAAAAGACUACCUUUACAUGCCCGUAUGGAACUUAUGCAUACCGACGAAUGUCGUUCGGAUUGUGCAAUGCUCCACCUUCUUUCCAACGGUGCAUGAUGUCUAUUUUCUCGGACAUGAUUGAGAAGAUCAUGGAGGUUUUCAUGGAUGAUUUUACCGUCUAUGGCAAAACCUUCGAUCAUUGUUUGGAGAAUUUAGAUAGAGUCUUGCAGCGAUGUGAAGAAAAACACUUAAUCCUGAACUGGGAGAAAUGCCAUUUUAUGGUUCAGGAAGGAAUAGUGCUAGGACAUAAAGUGUCCGAACGUGGUAUAGAGGUGGACAAAGCAAAGAUUGAAGUUAUUGAAAAACUUCCACCUCUCACGAAUGUGAAAGGAAUCCGUAGCUUUAUGGGACAUGCAGGGUUCUAUAGACGCUUUAUCAAGAAUUUCUCUCAAAUUGCUAGACCCCUAACUAAUCUCCUAGCUAAGGACGCACCUUUCAUCUUUAAUGAUGAGUGUCAUGAAUCUUUUCAAACUCUUAAGAAAGCACUCAUCUCAGCCCCAAUUAUCCAACCACCUAAUUGGAAUCUUCCUUUUGAGAUCAUGUGUGAUGCUAGCGAUUUUGCGGUUGGUGCCGUUUUAGGACAAACCAAGGAUAGAAAGCAUUAUGCUAUAUCCUACGCUAGCAAAACCUUGUCUGGACCACAGCUCAAUUACACUACAACUGAAAAAGAGCUUUUGGCUGUUGUCUUUGCUAUAGACAAGUUUAGAUCUUACUUAGUGGGGGCAAAGAUAAUCAUCUAUUCAGACCAUGCUGCUCCCAAGUACCUCCUCACUAAGAAAGAUGCUAAGCCUCGUCUAAUUCGAUGGAUUCUUCUACUCCAAGACUUUGACAUAGAAAUCCGAGAUAGGAAGGGAGUUGAGAAUUCCGUAGCCGACCACUUAUCUAGGAUUCAAUAUAAGGAAACACAUGAUGAGCUUCCCAUAAAUGACUACCUAAGGGAUGACACCCUACUUAAGAUAACACAUGCAGAUCCAUGGUACGCAGACAUCGUAAACUUUAUAGUAAAAGGCUAUGUCCCACCUGGUGCAAACAAAAGUUGCUUCACGAUAGUCGUUUCCACCUUUGGGAUGAGCCAUAUCUUUUCCGAGUCUGCGCUGAUCGACUCUUGAGAAGGUGUGUUCCUAUGGCUGAGGCUACUCAAAUUAUGGAAAGAUGCCAUGCCUCGCCAUAUGGAGGACACUACGGAGCAUUUCGAACACAUGCUAAUAUUUGGCAAAGUGGUUUUUUCUGGCCAACGAUGUAUGAAGAUACAAAGGACUUUGUCAGGAGAUGCCACCGAUGUCAAAAACAUGGGAAUAUCAACUCACAAAAUGAAAUGCCUCUCACAAAUAAUCUUCAAGUAGAACUUUUCGAUGUAUGGGGCAUUGAUUUCAUGGGGCCAUUCCCUAUGUCCGGGAAUUGCGAGUAUAUCUUAGUAGCUGUGGACUAUGUGUCCAAAUGGGUAGAAGCCCUACCUUGUCGAUCAGCUGAUUCAAAACAUGCCAAGAGAAUGUUCCAUGAAGUAAUCUUUCCUCGCUUUGGUAUACCCCGGAUAGUUAUAAGCGAUGGAGGUUCCCACUUCAUCGACAAAAUCUUCCAGAAGUACCUAGCCGAUCUUGGAGUUCGACACAACGUCGCAACACCAUACCAUCCUCAGACUAGCGGUCAAGCCGAAACAUCUAACAAACAAAUCAAAAAUAUUUUACAAAAGACCGUAGAUGAGAUGGGUAAGGGGUGGAAGGACAAACUUCCUGAUGCACUUUGGGCAUAUAGAACUGCAUUCAAAACACCCAUAGGCAUGUCACCUUAUCAACUUGUAUAUGGAAAAACUUGUCACUUGCCUGUGGAAGUAGAGUUUAAGGCUCAUUGGGCACUCAAGAAAUGGAACAUGGAUCUCCACCUCGCUAGCGAGAAUCGUCUGAUGCAACUAUCUGAGCUAGAAGAAUGGAGAGAGAAAGCCUACCACAAUUCAAGGAUCUAUAAAGAGAGAAAAAACGAUGGCAUGAAAAGAGAAUCAAGCACAAGGAGUUUAAGCCUGGAGAUAAGGUUCUACUAUUCAGUUCAAGAGUUAAGCUCUUUGGGCAUGGUAAGCUACGAAGUAAGUGGGAUGGACCAUACAAGGUUAUUGACACUUCAACUCAUGGAGCCAUUACCAUCCAAGACGACAUAGGUAACACUUUUAAGGUAAAUGGUCAACGCUUGAAACUCUAUCUUGAGCCUCAAAACAACCGGGUAGAGGAACUUGAUGUGAUUGAGUUCAUAGAAUUCUCAUAUUAAGCUCUCAUAAGCUCUAGACAAUUACCUAACCCUUAACAUGCUCCACAAGUUUUGUUGUCUAUUUGGGUUGUGCAGGAUUUUAAGGCUUAAGAAGUGUAAGAUAGAACAUGCAGGCCAUAAGAGUGAACGACUAUGUCAACAUCCAGCUUGGGGGAGGCAUCCCCACGUGUAUCAUGAUAAGUAUUACUUUUCUUUCUUGGUUUUAUUUACUAGUAUUCGGAAAUAAAAAAAAAAUGCGUGACCAUGAAACCAAACAAAGUUUUUCUUUUGAGUAAUAUACAAUGGUUUUGUGUAAUCCUAAGUUUUAAAUAAAAUAAAAAGAAAGUUUGGUUCAAGUCUAGGUAAUUGACAAACAUGAUAUGAGAAGGUCUGAGCUACUAUUUAACUUGUUCCAAGCUUUGCUAGAGUUCUGGAGAUUUUAUCUUUCGAAAAUCUAAAAAUUCAUAAAAAAAAAUAUGAGAUCAUAAUACCUAGAGUCUUAUAAGAUAAAAAUAUUAAAACAGUGGGUACUUUCUUUGUUCAAGCCAUUGUUAAUUCUUGUAGUUUUGGUUGAGAGAAUUAUCAUGCUCCCAAGAUCAGGAUCUUUUUGUUUCAAAAAUAUAAAAGAUUCACUCUUCAAAAGUAUUAUUGCGUUAGAGGCAUGGGACUAUGCAAAAUUUUGAUUCGAAAAAAAAGUGAGACGAGAGGUAAAAAUGGACAAGUGUCCGAAGUAGAAUUAGGGGUACAAAGAUACCCACCUGAGUGGAAAAAAUGGACAUGUGUCCGACAGUAGAAUUAGGGGUACUUGCUGCCCACUUGAAAAAAAAAGAAGAGACUGAAAAAAAAGAAAAAAAUGAUAGCCCAUGGUCCCUCUAAUAAGCAAUAUGCCAGUAAGAGAUGACAUACUUUUCAAAAAGGUCAAAGGUCUUGAUCUAGGAGUAUGACAUUCCUCUCCCUUGCUCCGAGCAUUGACAUAGCAAAAUGCAAAGUAAGUAUGCUAAAACUUUUAAAGCUCUACUUAUAUAUCUUUCGAGAAGAAGGCAAAUACCUCAGUUUUAUUUUGCAGACUCAUAAAAAAAAUCCAGAACAAAGGUAAGACAGAAGAACUUGAGACAUAGUGCUUGACUUGAUCGUUCUGUUUUUCAAUCACUUAAGACCUUAGUGAUAAAUUAAAAACCCUGUAGUAAGAGGCAUAAAAGUAACCCCUGUUUUCUUGUUGAUUUUUGCUUUGCUCAGGGACGAGCAAAGGUUAAGCUUAGGGGAGCUUGUUGACGGUCCUUAAUGCUCACAUUUAACCAUCAACUAAUCAUGGAAAAGGAUCCAAAUGCAACCAACACCUAGACUUAGGGUUUUAUCUGACAGAAUUCCACGAGUUUUGGUGUUUGUCUAUUUCUGUAGGGGGUUAUCAGGAAAUAUGGAGGAAAGGCCCACACGUCGGGAUUACAUAGAGAUAUUAACGUGCCGCGCAAUUUUCUACCAUCUAGAAGACUCCAGAAGCCACGGGAACGAACGGGAAGGCGAUCGGGCUCGGAGGCAGGGCGCCCGCCCUACUCUCCUGGGCACCCGCCCUGCUACAGUGCCCAAUCAGGGUCAACUUCGCGGAUCGUGCUCCACCGACUCUAAGGAUCGAGGAAAAUCACACGAUUAAGGUCGGUUUGAUCAGAUGGUGGAGAAUAACGUGGAAAUUCAUUGGGAGCUACUCUUCCUAGAUUUCUUGGGGGCUACUCUUCCUAGAUUUCUUGGGGGCUACUCUUCCUGGACUAUAUAAGCAGACCCCCACCAGCCCCUGGAGGCAUACCUCUUCUACAGAAUCAAAGUUAGGGUUUCAAUUCUUCAUCCAAGUAGAGAGGAUCCCUCUAGUUCUUCUAGUUCUACCUCUAGUUCAUCUAGAUCUAGUUCUAGUUCAUCUAGUUCUAGUUCUAGUUCCUCUAGUUCUAGUUCUAGUUAGUUCUAGUUGUAAUCUAGAAAAUAGGGAGAGAGAAGACGAGAGCGGAGGAGGAGGAGCUGGAUCUGUCGGAUCUUCCUCAACAUUGUACUUUUGCAGCAACUGGUUCGUUCUUCAUCGUUCUCCAGGUUCUUCAAUUCAUAAUCCUGAGUUCUUUAAUUACUUUUAUUUACAUUUAAGUUAUUUAUUGGAUUCCCGCUUGCAUCAAGUGCUCUAAUCUUUGCAACAUUAGAGUAGUAAUUAAUAGAUUAGACGUGGUGUUUAGUCUUGCAAUUACCUGGAAUUGCACCCAAUCCUGCGGAUUGUUGUGGUAGCCUUAGGGUAGUGACAGCCCUAACGGUCGACGUAUUCCACCUCG